rnacentral:rRNA from 1 species
UACGUAGGGCGCAAGCGUUGUCCGGAAUUAUUGGGCGUAAAGGGCUCGUAGGCGGUUUGUCGCGUCUGCCGUGAAAGUCCGGGGCUCAACUCCGGAUCUGCGGUGGGUACGGGCAGACUAGAGUGAUGUAGGGGAGACUGGAAUUCCUGGUGUAGCGGUGAAAUGCGCAGAUAUCGGGGGGAACACCAGUGGCGAAGGCGGCCGACUGGGCCGAUCCUGACGCUGAGACCCGAAAGCCAGGGUAGCGAACCGG